AUGUACCCACGUACACUCCGGUUGCUCCGCGCCGUCCGCACCCACCUGACGACUGCUCGCUACGUUUUGUUAGCC
rnacentral:sRNA from 1 species